AUUGAACGCUGGCGGCAGGCUUAACACAUGCAAGUCGAGCGAGCGGCGGACGGGUGAGUAAUGUCUGGGACACUGCCUGAUGGAGGGGGAUAACUACUGGAAACGGUAGCUAAUACCGCAUACCAUCAGAUGGGCCCAGAUGGGAUUAGCUAGUAGGUGGGGUAAUGGCUAACCUAGGCGACGAACCCUAGCUGGUCUGAGAGGAUGACCAGCCAAACUGGAACUGAGACACGGUCCAGAAUCCUACGGGAGGCAGAAGUGGGGAAUAUUGCACAAUGGGCGCAAGCCUGAUGCAGCCAGGCGGCGUGUGUGAAGAAGGCCUGCGGGUUGUAAAGCACUUUCAGCGAGGAGGCGUUACUCGCAGAAGAAGCACCGGCUAACUCCGUGCCAGCAGCCGCGGUAAUUC
rnacentral:rRNA from 1 species